rnacentral:lncRNA from 1 species
GGGGGACUGUUUAUUGACUGCCACCUACUUGCUUAAUAGGAUUCCAUCCAGAAUUCUUCACAACAAAUCUCCUUAUGAAAUACUGUAUGGCAAGGCCCCUACUUAUUCACAUUUAAGGGCAUUUGGCUGUCUUGCCUAUGCCACUGUACCCAUCCCACAGAGAGAUAAGCUGAAACCUAGAGCUAUUUCCUGUGUUUUUCUGGGAUAUCCCUUUGCCAAAAAGGGUUACAGGCUAUAUGACCUAACUAAUCAGCUCUCUCCUGUGUUUUUCUGGGAUAUCCUUUUGCAAAAAGGGCUACAGGCUAUAUGACCUUGCUACUAAGAAGUAUUUUGUGUCCAGGGAUGUUGUCUUUCAUGAAACCUGCUUUCCUUUUGACUCUGCUUCUGUUGUUCCUCAUGCUGCUUCUGUUUUCCCUCCUCCUCCUACUCCUUCCUCUGAUAUUCCCUGUGCUGAUUUUGUUUUGCCUGCUUCCCUUUGUUCUUCUCCUCCUGUUUCUUCCUAUUCUGCCCCCAGUCCUGCUUCUUCAUCACUUCCUUCCUCCCUUUCC